UUAAUGAGAAAAGGAAGAAAAGAAUAGAAAUAGAAACAGAAAGCCAAACGAAACAGAGAGCAGGGGAAGGAAAGAAAGAAAAAGAGAAAAGAAAGAAGAAAAGGGAAAAUUCAAGGUUUGAAGCUUUAAAGUUUAAUUGCUAAUGUUGUCUCGGAAAAUCUCGGAUAAGCAAGAAAAAAUGGCAAAGACAACAGGUGUUAGCUCGAGAAAAUACGGCGGUUCGUGUGUGGAUCUCGUCAACAUAUCGUCGCAAACAGUACGCGCGAUUGGGCUUAAUGGGCCAAAGAUCGGGUUCAUGGGCCAACGGGCCCAAUUCGGUAAGUAUUCGCAGUAAGUGUUCUGGUAGUACGUAAAUAGUUAGGAUAUGCAUGAAAACCCUAAAAGUAGCUAAAUUACUAUAAUACCCCUAUGUAUGGAAAAUUACUAUAAUACCCCUAUGUAUGGAAAAUUACUGUUAUACCCCUAGGUGCAAAAUUACCGUUAUACCCCUAGGGUUAAUUUUGACUGAAAAGCAUAGCGAUCUGAUUCUGUAUGAUGUAUGCCAUGAUUAUAUAUCUGUUGCAUGGGAAAACAUGGGUUAUAUUAUGGAGGAAGC